CCCCUUUGCUUCCUUACCCCAUCUGAUCUAAAUGUUGGUCUGGGUGGCUAAAAGAGGAAGAACAGUAAAACUGAAGUGGAUGUGCUGUCUUUAGUUGCAUACAAGUUCAUUUCAAGCAUGU
rnacentral:snoRNA from 1 species